GUGAAUCAUCGAAUUUUUGAACGCAAAUUGCGCCUUUUUCGGAAGGCAUGUCUGUUGGUGUUCACCAUUUAACAAAUAAUGUGCAUUUCAUUUGCACACGUUGAUGGGCGUUCCAAAAUUAUGUAUUAUUAUUUUUCGUGGCGCAUAAUAAACAGCGCGAUGCUUUUUUUCAUUUCGAGUGUAUUAAAGUUUUUUUUUGCUUUGGUUGUGAAAA
rnacentral:misc_RNA from 1 species